rnacentral:lncRNA from 1 species
ACAUAUCAGUAAAAAUUUAAUAAUUUAUCCCCCUUAUUCUACCAAAUGAUGUGAAAAAAAACUAUCCCUCUCUUAACAAAUUAUUCUAAAAUAACCUGUUAAGAGAUGAGAACUAUUAUUCUUCCCUUUCAAUGGAAUAGCAACUCUUGUCAUUUAUUCUCCCCUUUAAAUAAUAAUUUAUUUACUAAACUAUGAUAAUUAGUAUAUUAUAUUCUUAACAAAUCAAAUUCUUAAAUAAUUUUUUUAUUAAUUAGUUUCUAAUUAUUAUAAAACAUUACUAAUUAAUUACUAAUUAACUUAUUUAAUUAUCUACUAACUACUUGAAUUAUUAAAUUAAUAUAUAUUUAAUUAAUUACUUGAACAAAUAGUUUAGUAUUUAUAUUUAUAAUCAAUCGCUAAUCAAAUAAUAACUAAUUUAAUAUGCUUAUUCAAAUAAUAACUAAUAUUUAUAUGCUGAUUAAGUAAUUAAUAUUUUAACUUAUCAACUUAAUUUAUUAACUAAAUAUAUAAUUAGUUAAUUUGGUAACUCAUUUAAUUUAUUUUUAAAUAAUUAAGUAACUAAUAAACAUGCUUCUUCACCAUUUUAUGCAAUAUUCCUAGUUAAUUAAUUAACUUGCUAUUAAAGUAUUAUCAUCUUAUAUAAUAUUCCUAGGUAAUUAAUUUCUUAACUUGUUAAAAUAUUAUCUUAUCAAUAAUUAACAUGAUUAUUAUUUAAAUAAAAUGUUAUUAUUUUAUAAUUAUAAUUAAUCUUAUUCCUAUUAUUCCAAUAUAACAAUCCAAAAGCAAUUUUCCUUAUCUCUCUGAGCAACACAAUUUUUAUCCAAACACAAAAUUAUUCUAAUCUCUGUAUAUCACACAAAUAAUAUCUAUCCCAUGAAUAAAUAAGAAUAAUUUAUUUUAUCGUAUUAAUAUUUUUUUUUCAGGACCCGAAAAUCGUUUUCCUAAAAUCAAAAUUUGAUUCGACAAGUUAUGUAAUUAAUAUUUUAACUUAUCAACUUAAUUUAUUAACUAAAUAUAUAAUUAAUUAAUUUGGUAACUCAUUUAAUUUAUUUUUAAAUAAUUAAGUAACUAAUAAACAUGCUUCUUCACCAUCUUAUGCAAUAUUCCUAGUUAUUUAAUUAACUUGCUAUUAAAAUAUUAUCAUCUUAUAUAAUAUUCCUAGGUAAUUAAUUACUUAACUUGUUAAAAUAUUAUCUUAUCAAUAAUUAAGAUGCUUAUUAUUUAAAUAAAAUAUUAUUAUUUUAUAAUUAUAAUUAAUCUUAUUCCUAUUAUUCCAAUAUAACAAUCCAAAAGCAAUUUUCCUUAUCUCUCUGAGCAACACAAUUUUUAUCCAAACACAAAAUUAUUCUAAUCUCUGUAUAUCACACAAAUAAUAUCUAUCCCAUGAAUAAAUAAGAAUAAUUUAUUUUAUCGUAUUAAUAUUUUUUUUUCAGGACCCGAAAAUCGUUUUCCUAAAAUCAAAAUUUGAUUCGACAAGUUAUGUAAUUAAUAUUUUAACUUAUCAACUUAAUUUAUUAACUAAAUAUAUAAUUAAUUAAUUUGGUAACUCAUUUAAUUUAUUUUUAAAUAAUUAAGUAACUAAUAAACAUGCUUCUUCACCAUCUUAUGCAACAUUCCUAGUUAUUUAAUUAACUUGCUAUUAAAAUAUUAUCAUCUUAUAUAAUAUUCCUAGGUAAUUAAUUACUUAACUUGUUAAAAUAUUAUCUUAUCAAUAAUUAAGAUGCUUAUUAUUUAAAUAAAAUAUUAUUAUUUUAUAAUUAUAAUUAAUCUUAUUCUUAUUAUUCCAAUCUAACAAUCCAAACGCAAUUUUUUCUUAUCUCUCUGAGUAAUACAAUUUUUAUCCCAACACAAAAUUAUUCUAAUUUCUGUAUAUCACAUAAAUAAUAUCUAUCCCAUAUUCCCAUGAUUAAAUAAGAAUAAUUUAUUUUAUCAAAUUUUUUUUUUUUUU